CUGUCCGCCCGCAAGCGGGCAUGGCUUUCGCUAGAGGCCCUCCCACCACACGCCCCAACGCACGGAGCUAGCCGCCCCUGCAGAAGGCGCCGCAGAUCCGGCGACGGCCAACGCCCCGACCAAGGCAAGUACAGGCAAGCCACGCAACCACCACAGCGGGCCAGCCGCACGCGUGUGUGCCGACGCCGCAGACCAGCUACGGCCACGCGAGCGCGCGGGCACCGCCGCUGCCACCACGGCCACAGCAGCCGCAAGGCCACCCGCCCAAGCCAGCAACAGGGAGGAGCGGCGGAAGGCGACCAGCCCCCCAGAUCCGGGCAGCCAGCCCGCGAAUCCGACCAACCCAACGCGGAUCAGGACGCCGACCACCUUAUCGUAGACGCAGACGAGUGGAGGUCCCGCCACCGCCAAUCCGGCCGACCGCGCAGCCCACCAACGCACCACGCCGAACACCACCCCGACACAUGCCCGAGACCAGCCUGCUGGCGCCUCCGAAGGCUGGCACGCGGAGGUCGCGAACCCCACGCGCACCAGAUUCCAGACCUCCACGCGCGGCGCCGCUCCCUACCCUUGGGCGCCAGACAACACCUUCUCCGCGCGUGCGACCCACGGCCGGCCGCAUGCCCCCCUGCUGCGCGGACACCCAGCCAGGACCCGCAACGCCCGGAUGUGCCAAACGAACGCCGCGCUCACUGCCGCCAUGAUGCCGCCGAGGCUGAGCCGCGCCGGCGAAGGGUCGCCGCCCCACACACGCCGUUGCCACCUCCUAGAACCCGACUAGAUCCGGGCAGACGCGACCAAAGCAGAGAAAAAUCGCCGCGUCGCCACCUUCCUUGGGGCCGCGCGGACAUCCGGCGGCGCCCUCUGGUGACGGCGAGGUGGGAUGGAGUGGAGGGAGGGGGCGGCGGCGCUAGGGUUUCGGCCGCCCGUGUCGCCCAGCAGAAGGCGACCGAGCGGCUUUGGUUCUGUCAUGUUAGCAUGCUUUGUUCUACACGUUUAAGGAAGAAAAAAAAACCGAUGAAUGGAACAUCAAAUCCCUAUGGAUAG
rnacentral:misc_RNA from 1 species